UGCAAGCGUUAAUCGGAAUUACUGGGCGUAAAGCGUGCGCAGGCGGUUUUUUAAGUCUGCUGUGAAAUCCCCGAGCUCAACUUGGGAAUUGCAGUGGAUACUGGCAGGCUGGAGUAUGGUAGAGGAAGGUGGAAUUCCCGGUGUAGCAGUGAAAUGCGUAGAGAUCGGGAGGAACACCAGUGGCGAAGGCGACCUUCUGGACCAAUACUGACGCUCAUGCACGAAAGCGUGGGGAGCAAACAGG
rnacentral:rRNA from 1 species